rnacentral:tRNA from 10 species
UGGGGCGUAGCCAAGCGGUAAGGCAGCGGUUUUUGGUACCGCCACGCGUAGGUUCGAAUCCUACCGCCCCAGCCA